rnacentral:rRNA from 1 species
AACGAACGCUGGCGGCAUGCCUAACACAUGCAAGUCGAACGCUCUCUUCGGAGGGAGUGGCGGACGGGUGAGUAACGCGUGGGAACCUGCCCCGUGGUGCGGGACAACGUCUGGAAACGGACGCUAAUACCGCAUGCGCCCUGAGGGGGAAAGCUUUAGCGCCAUGGGAGGGGCCGGCGUCGGAUUAGGUAGUUGGUGGGGUAACGGCCCACCAAGCCUACGAUCCGUAGCUGGUCUGAGAGGAUGAUCAGCCACACUGGGACUGAGACACGGCCCAGACUCCUACGGGAGGCAGCAGUGGGGAAUAUUGGACAAUGGGGGCAACCCUGAUCCAGCAAUGCCGCGUGAGUGAUGAAGGCCUUCGGGUUGUAAAGCUCUUUCGCACGCGACGAUGAUGACGGUAGCGUGAGAAGAAGCCCCGGCUAACUUCGUGCCAGCCGCCGCUGUAACAC